CUUAACCGGGCGUUAAGUUGCAGGGUAUAGACCCGAAACCCGGUGAUCUAGCCAUGGGCAGGUUGAAGGUUGGGUAACACUAACUGGAGGACCGAACCGACUAAUGUUGAAAAAUUAGCGGAUGACCUGUGGCUGGGGGUGAAAGGCCAAUCAAACCGGGAGAUAGCUGGUUCUCCCCGAAAGCUAUUUAGGUAGCGCCUCGUGAAUUCAUCUCCGGGGGUAGAGCACUGUUUCGGCUAGGGGGCCAUCCCGGCUUACCAACCCGAUGCAAACUGCGAAUACCGGAGAAUGUUAUCACGGGAGACACACGGCGGGUGCUAACGUCCGUCGUGAAGAGGGAAACAACCCAGACCGCCAGCUAAGGUCCCAAAGUCAUGGUUAAGUGGGAAACGAUGUGGGAAGGCCCAGACAGCCAGGAUGUUGGCUUAGAAGCAGCCAUCAUUUAAAGAAAGCGUAAUAGCUCACUGGUCGAGUCGGCCUGCGCGGAAGAUGUAACGGGGCUAAACCAUGCACCGAAGCUGCGGCAGCGACACUGUGUGUUGUUGGGUAGGGGAGCGUUCUGUAAGCCUGUGAAGGUGUGUCGUGAGGCAUGCUGGAGGUAUCAGAAGUGCGAAUGCUGACAUAAGUAACGAUAAAGCGGGUGAAAAGCCCGCUCGCCGGAAGACCAAGGGUUCCUGUCCAACGUUAAUCGGGGCAGGGUGAGUCGACCCCUAAGGCGAGGCCGAAAGGCGUAGUCGAUGGGAAACGGGUUAAUAUUCCCGUACUUGGUGUUACUGCGAAGGGGGGACGGAGAAGGCUAUGUUGGCCGGGCGACGGUUGUCCCGGUUUAAGCGUGUAGGUGUGUGUUCCAGGUAAAUCCGGUUCACUUUAACACUGAGGCGUGACGACGAGGCACUACGGUGCUGAAGCAACAAAUGCCCUGCUUCCAGGAAAAGCCUCUAAGCAUCAGGUAACAUCAAAUCGUACCCCAAACCGACACAGGUGGUCAGGUAGAGAAUACCAAGGCGCUUGAGAGAACUCGGGUGAAGGAACUAGGCAAAAUGGUGCCGUAACUUCGGGAGAAGGCACGCUGACACGUAGGUGAAGUGAUUUACUCAUGGAGCUGAAGUCAGUCGAAGAUACCAGCUGGCUGCAACUGUUUAUUAAAAACACAGCACUGUGCAAACACGAAAGUGGACGUAUACGGUGUGACGCCUGCCCGGUGCCGGAAGGUUAAUUGAUGGGGUCAGCGCAAGCGAAGCUCCUGAUCGAAGCCCCGGUAAACGGCGGCCGUAACUAUAACGGUCCUAAGGUAGCGAAAUUCCUUGUCGGGUAAGUUCCGACCUGCACGAAUGGCGUAAUGAUGGCCAGGCUGUCUCCACCCGAGACUCAGUGAAAUUGAACUCGCUGUGAAGAUGCAGUGUACCCGCGGCAAGACGGAAAGACCCCGUGAACCUUUACUAUAGCUUGACACUGAACAUUGAGCCUUGAUGUGUAGGAUAGGUGGGAGGCUUUGAAGUGUGGACGCCAGUCUGCAUGGAGCCGACCUUGAAAUACCACCCUUUAAUGUUUGAUGUUCUAACGUGGACCCGUUACCCGGGUUGCGGACAGUGUCUGGUGGGUAGUUUGACUGGGGCGGUCUCCUCCUAAAGAGUAACGGAGGAGCACGAAGGUUGGCUAAUCCUGGUCGGACAUCAGGAGGUUAGUGCAAUGGCAUAAGCCAGCUUGACUGCGAGCGUGACGGCGCGAGCAGGUGCGAAAGCAGGUCAUAGUGAUCCGGUGGUUCUGAAUGGAAGGGCCAUCGCUCAACGGAUAAAAGGUACUCCGGGGAUAACAGGCUGAUACCGCCCAAGAGUUCAUAUCGACGGCGGUGUUUGGCACCUCGAUGUCGGCUCAUCACAUCCUGGGGCUGAAGUAGGUCCCAAGGGUAUGGCUGUUCGCCAUUUAAAGUGGUACGCGAGCUGGGUUUAGAACGUCGUGAGACAGUUCGGUCCCUAUCUGCCGUGGGCGCUGGAGAACUGAGGGGGGCUGCUCCUAGUACGAGAGGACCGGAGUGGACGCAUCACUGGUGUUCGGGUUGUCAUGCCAAUGGCACUGCCCGGUAGCUAAAUGCGGAAGAGAUAAGUGCUGAAAGCAUCUAAGCACGAAACUUGCCCCGA
rnacentral:rRNA from 1 species